rnacentral:rRNA from 1 species
GGACGAACGCUGGCGGCGUGCUUAACACAUGCAAGUCGAACGAUGAAGCCCUUCGGGGUGGAUUAGUGGCGAACGGGUGAGUAACACGUGGGCAAUCUGCCCUUCACUCUGGGACAAGCCCUGGAAACGGGGUCUAAUACCGGAUAAUACUUUCUCCCGCAUGGGAGAAGGUUGAAAGCUCCGGCGGUGAAGGAUGAGCCCGCGGCCUAUCAGCUUGUUGGUGGGGUGAUGGCCUACCAAGGCGACGACGGGUAGCCGGCCUGAGAGGGCGACCGGCCACACUGGGACUGAGACACGGCCCAGACUCCUACGGGAGGCAGCAGUGGGGAAUAUUGCACAAUGGGCGAAAGCCUGAUGCAGCGACGCCGCGUGAGGGAUGACGGCCUUCGGGUUGUAAACCUCUUUCAGCAGGGAAGAAGCGAAAGUGACGGUACCUGCAGAAGAAGCGCCGGCUAACUACGUGCCAGCAGCCGCGGUAAUACGUAGGGCGCAAGCGUUGUCCGGAAUUAUUGGGCGUAAAGAGCUCGUAGGCGGCUUGUCACGUCGGAUGUGAAAGCCCGGGGCUUAACCCCGGGUCUGCAUUCGAUACGGGCAGGCUAGAGUGUGGUAGGGGAGAUCGGAAUUCCUGGUGUAGCGGUGAAAUGCGCAGAUAUCAGGAGGAACACCGGUGGCGAAGGCGGAUCUCUGGGCCAUUACUGACGCUGAGGAGCGAAAGCGUGGGGAGCGAACAGGAUUAGAUACCCUGGUAGUCCACGCCGU